GACGUAGGGCGCGAGCGUUGUCCGGAUUUAUUGGGCGUAAAGAGCUCGUAGGCGGCUUGUCGCGUCGACUGUGAAAACCCGCAGCUCAACUGCGGGCCUGCAGUCGAUACGGGCAGGCUAGAGUUCGGUAGGGGAGACUGGAAUUCCUGGUGUAGCGGUGGAAUGCGCAGAUAUCAGGAGGAACACCAGUGGCGAAGGCGACUACCUGGCCUGUUCUUGACGCUGAGGCGCGAAAGCUAGGGGAGCAAACGGG
rnacentral:rRNA from 1 species